UACGUAGGGUGCGAGCGUUAAUCGGAAUUACUGGGCGUAAAGCGUGCGCAGGCGGCUUUGCAAGACAGAUGUGAAAUCCCCGGGCUCAACCUGGGAACUGCAUUUGUGACUGCAUGGCUAGAGUACGGUAGAGGGGGGAUGGAAUUCCGCGUGUAGCAGUGAAAUGCGUAGAUAUGCGGAGGAACACCGAUGGCGAAGGCAAUCCCCCUGGACCUGUACUGACGCUCAUGCACGAAAGCGUGGGGGAGCAA
rnacentral:rRNA from 1 species